AAUCGGACACGCGCAGAACUUACAGGUCUUGACAUCCCGUUGACCACUGUAGAGAUAUGGUUUUCCCUUCGGGGACAACGGUGACAGGUGGUGCAUGGUUGUCGUCAGCUCGUGUCGUGAGAUGUUGGGUUAAGUCCCGCAACGAGCGCAACCCUUAUUCUUAGUUGCCAUCAUUUAGUUGGGCACUCUAAGGAGACUGCCGGUGACAAACCGGAGGAAGGUGGGGAUGACGUCAAAUCAUCAUGCCCCUUAUGACCUGGGCUACACACGUGCUACAAUGGACGAUACAAACGGUUGCCAACCCGCGAGGGGGAGCUAAUCCGAUAAAAUCGUUCUCAGUUCGGAUUGUAGGCUGCAACUCGCCUACAUGAAGCCGGAAUCGCUAGUAAUCGUGGAUCAGCAUGCCACGGUGAAUACUUCUCCCGGGCAAAU
rnacentral:rRNA from 2 species